rfam:Triticum aestivum genome assembly, contig: Triticum_aestivum_CS42_TGACv1_scaffold_320591_4BL
CAAAUACUCCCUCCGUCCGGAAAUACUUGUCAUCAAAACGGAUACAAGGAAAUGUAUCUAGACGUAUUUUAGUUUUAGAUACAUCUCUUUUUAUCCAUUUUGAUGAAAAGUAUUUUCGGACGGAGGGAGUAAAAA